CCUACGGGUGGCAGCAGUCGAGAAUCAUUCACAAUGGGGGAAACCCUGAUGGUGCGACGCCGCGUGGGGGAAUGAAGGUCUUCGGAUUGUAAACUCCUGUCAUGUGGGAGCAAAUUAAAAAGAUAGUACCACAUGAGGAAGAGACGGCUAACUCUGUGCCAGCAGCCGCGGUAAUACAGAGGUCUCAAGCGGUGUUCGGAAUCACUGGGCGUAAGGGGUGCGUAGGCGGUGUCGUAAGUCGUGUGUGAAAGGCGCGGGCUCAACCCGCGGACGGCACAUGAUACUGGGAGACUAGAGUAAUGGAGGGGGAAGCGGAAUUCGCGGUGUAGCAGUGAAAUGCGUAGAUAUCGAGAGGAACACUCGUGGCGAAGGCGGGUUCCUGGACAUUAACUGACGCUGAGGCACGAAGGCCAGGGGAGCGAAAGGGAUUAGAUACCCCGGUAGUC
rnacentral:rRNA from 1 species